rnacentral:misc_RNA from 1 species
UGGAAGUAAAGUCGUAACAAGGUUUCCGUAGGUGAACCUGCGGAAGGAUCAUUAAUAAAUUUUUUAGGUUGAAAUUUGAAACCUAAAAUAUAAUAAUCCUACCCUUUGUGAAUUUGUUGUUUGAAAUAAUUUUUAAAAAAAUUAUUUAUAGUUCUGUCUAUCCUGAGUUGUAAGAGAAGUAAUUCUUGAAGACUUAGGAAUAGGCUUUAUCUAUAAAUAAUAUUUUAAAGACUUUUUUAAAUUAAACUUUGUAUUCAUUUUCUAAAUUUAUUUUAAUAAUUUAAAAACAACUUUGACAAUGGAUCUCUUGGUUCUCGCAACGAUGAAGAACGCAGCAAAUGCGAUAAGUAAUGUGAAUUGCAGAAUACGUGAAUCAUCAAUCUUCGAACGCAUAUUGCACUUUUUAGUUUACUAAAAAGUAUGUCUGUUUGAGUAUCAGUAAAUAUUCUCAUAAAAAUUAUUUUUUUAUGGUUUUGAGUGUUUUACAACGAUACAAGUUGUUUCACUUUAAAUUGACUUUAAAUUGCCUAUUAAUUUAGUCAAUUUUAAAUUGCAUAAAAUUUCCCGUAAAAGGAAUACUAUCGAUUUUAAAAUUAACUGAUAUUAAAAGCCUUGAUAAAAGGAAAUUUAAUUAAAUACUUGAUCUCAAAUCAGAUAAGAGUACCGCUGAACUUAAGCAUAUCAAUAAGCGGAGGAAAAGAAACUAACAAGGAUUCCCCUAGUAACGGCGAGUGAAGCGGGAAGAGCUCAAAUUUGAAAUCUUCAAGGUUUGACCUUGACGAAUUGUAGUUUAAAGAAGUGUUUUCGGUUAGAGGAGUGGUAAAGUUCUUUGGAAUAGGACAUCAUAGAGGUGAGAAUCCGUAUUUGACCAUUCUUCUAGCUUUGAUACACUUUCAAAGAGUCGGAUUGUUUGGGAAUGCAGUCCAAAAUGGGUGGUAAAUUUCAUCUAAGCUAAAUAUUGGCGAGAGACGAUAGCGAACAAGUACGUGAGGAAAGAUGAAAAGAACUUUGAAAAGAGAGUUAACAGUACGUGAAAUGUCAAAAGGGAAGCGUUUGACACCAGUGUGUUUUCCGAAAAUCAAUUAAAAUAAAUUCAUGCCAGUUGUAUUGACCUUAUCAGCUUGCAAUUUGGUUUUGGUUUCUUUUGAUGCACUUUCGGUUAACAAGUCAACAUCAAUUUCCUUUGCUGUAAAAGGGCAGGAGGAAGUGGCUUCAAUUUCGGUUGAAGUGUUUAUAGCCUUCUGUCUCUGCAGUCGGGAGAUUGAGUCUGCAGCGUAGAUCCUUCGGGUUAGAUACAUUCGUGCUAAGUUAUAGCCUUUUAUAGACAACUUGUUGACUAUGAUCGUCAUGUAAUUACUCGCGAGUGCUAUUUACCUACGCUUAGGAUGUUGAA